rnacentral:rRNA from 1 species
UACGUAGGGGGCAAGCGUUGUCCGGAAUCAUUGGGCGUAAAGAGCGUGUAGGCGGCCCGAUAAGUCCGCUGUGAAAGUCCAGGGCUCAACCCUGGAAUGCCGGUGGAUACUGUCGGGCUCGAAUCCGGAAGAGGUGAGUGGAAUUCCCGGUGUAGCGGUGAAAUGCGCAGAUAUCGGGAAGAACACCCGUGGCGAAGGCGGCUCUCUGGGACGGUACUGACGCUGAGACGCGAAAGCGUGGGGAGCGAACGAGG